rnacentral:rRNA from 1 species
GAUGAACGCUGGCGGCGUGCCUAAUACAUGCAAGUCGAGCGAACAGACGAGGAGCUUGCUCCUCUGACGUUAGCGGCGGACGGGUGAGUAACACGUGGAUAACCUACCUAUAAGACUGGGAUAACUUCGGGAAACCGGAGCUAAUACCGGAUAAUAUAUUGAACCGCAUGGUUCAAUAGUCAAAGACGGUUUUGCUGUCACUUAUAGAUGGAUCCGCGCCGCAUUAGCUAGUUGGUAAGGUAACGGCUUACCAAGGCAACGAUGCGUAGCCGACCUGAGAGAGUGAUCGGCCACACUGGAGCUGAGACACGGUUCAGAUUUCUACGGGAGGCAGCAGUAGGGAAUCUUCCGCAAUGGUCGAAAGCCUGACGGAGCAAGGCCGCGUGAGUGAUGAAGGUGUUCGGAUCGUAAAACUCUGUUAUUAGGGAAGAACAAAUGUGUAAGUAAUUCUGCACGUCUUGAGGGUACCUAAUCAGAAAGCCACGGCUAACUUCGGGC